CAGUCGCCACGGUAAUACGAAGGGUGCAAGUGUUAAUCGGAAUUACUGGGCGUAAAGCGCGCGUAGGUGGUUCAUUAAGUUGGAUGUGAAAGCCCUGGGCUCAACCUGGGAACUGCAUCCAAAACUGGUGAGCUAGAGUACGGUAGAGGGUAGUGGAACUUCCUGUGUAGCGGUGAAAUGCGUAGAUAUAGGAAGGAACACCAGUGGCGAAGGCGACUACCUGGACUGAUACUGACACUGAGGCGCGAAAGCGUGGGGAGCAAACAGGAUUAGAUACCCCCGUAGUCCCUGUCUCUUAUAC
rnacentral:rRNA from 1 species